rnacentral:rRNA from 1 species
UGAGGAAUAUUGGUCAAUGGGCGAGAGCCUGAACCAGCCAAAUCGCGUGAAGGAAGACUGCCUUAUGGGUUGUAAACUUCUUUUAUACAGGAAUAAAAAAGGGGACGUGUCCCUUAUUGCAUGUACUGUAUGAAUAAGCAUCGGCUAACUCCGUGCCAGCAGCCGCGGUAAUACGGAGGAUGCGAGCGUUAUCCGGAUUUAUUGGGUUUAAAGGGUGCGCAGGCGGGCUUUUAAGUCAGCGGUGAAAUCUCGGGGCUUAACUCCGAAACUGCCGUUGAAACUGGGAGUCUUGAGUAUGGAUGAAGUAGGCGGAAUUCGUUGUGUAGCGGUGACAUGCUUAGAUAUAACGAGGAACUCCGAUUGCGUAGGCAGCUUACUAAGCCAUAACUGACGCUCAAGCAUGAAAGCGUGGGGAUCAAACAGGAUUAGAUACCCUGGUAGUCCACGCCGUAAACGAUGAUUACUAGUUGUAUGCGAUAUACCGUAUGUGACUAAGCGAAAGCGAUAAGUAAUCCACCUGGGGAGUACGCCGGCAACGGUGAAACUUAAAGGAAUUGAC